AAACAACUGACCUGGUGGCUCAGCUGUCACCUCUGGCAGUUCUUAAUUACACACAACUACAGCACCACGUCACCUGUGUGUGGGCAGAAGCAUGGCCAAGUGUCUCAGGCAGUAGAGGCCUAAGGAGAGUGGCAAGAAUCACUGCACUACAAAGACGGAGAAACAUAAUAUUUCCUUCACCGCAAGAUGCAGCACAGUUCAACCAAAGCUGACUACAGGAGGUGGGAGAGAGACAAGGCUCUUUGGAGAAUCCCACACUGGCAAGACACAGCUAUGCCACUCACUGGCUGCUUCUUCUCUGAUUCCAGAGAGAAUGGGUGGUGGUGGUGGUGCAGGAAAAUGGCUGUACAUUGAAACAGGAACAUUUAGGUCUGAACACCUUCUGGCUGUUGCUGGCAAAUAUGGACCCACUGGUGAUAGUGUUCUUGACAAUGUAUGGACGAGCUGACACUUCUGACCGACAGACACAAUUGUUGAAUGGUGCAGCAGCCUUAAUGGCAUAUGAGGGUUACGUGAGAUAUUUAUUGAGAUCCGCUACACCUUGGGAUCCAACCUGACCAAUGGCCAAGGGUAUCCUUUAGAAAUUAAGGCUCAACUGACUGCCAAGAAGUGAAGAACAAGGGACAGGCUGAUGACAGGAGGCUACUUCACCUCCACCAGAUGACUGAGGCUGCAUCAUCACCUCCAGAUGACUGAGGCUGCAUCACCACCACCAGAUGA